GAUGAAUUAUAUGAGGCCUUCAAUGAAUUAAUGGAUGAGUACAAGACAAUAAACCUUAAAAACAAAAAAUUAAAACUAACUAACCAAACUCACCUCCGUAAGUAUGAUACAUUAGUUAAGGAAAAAGAUAUUAUUGUUAAAGAAAAUUCAGAACUUAAGACAAGCAAUCAAAUCUUAAUUCAAAAGACUAAUACCUUAACUAAAGAUAACGAUAGGCUGAACAAAGAAAUAUUAGAACUUAAAAGCAAUAAUCAUAUUAUAAAAGA
rnacentral:lncRNA from 1 species